rnacentral:lncRNA from 1 species
GGAAUACCAAUUUUGUGAUGAUGAUGAAACAGUGCGAGACAUUGCUAAAUCGGUUGAUGGCACAUCAGUAUGGUUGGGUCUUCAAUGAACCUGUUGAUACUGUAAAAUUGAAUAUUCCAGAUUACUUCAAUGUUAUUAAGCAUCCAAUGGAUUUGGGCACAAUAAAAAAAAAGUUACAUUCGGGUGGAUAUUCCAGUCCGAUGGGGUUUGCUGCGGAUGUGAGGCUCACAUUCGAAAAUGCAUUGACUUACAACCCGCGUGGAAAUGAUGUCCAUUUA